GCAGGAGGCACAGGAGGGCUGGAAGGUAAUGGGGGCGGCAUGCCCUCGGCUCGAUGUUUCCCCUGCCCAUCAGCACAGCUCGGCAGAGGGACCCUGGACAUGUGGAGAGCUGUCACUGCCUAACGGGGACUUCAGGGCUGAACCCUGACCCCUGUGAGAGGCGAGAGGCUGCCGCCUCCCCUGCGAGGCGUUCUGGCAGUGAAAUCCAUCUUGGAAAGGAUGUUGUUUUCCUUCCGAAGCUGAUGAGCCUCUUGAUUGCUUCGUUUGAAACGGGACGUGGCUCUCUGAGAAAUGCAGGCUCAGGCUUCCUGACAGCCGUGACCUCGAGGGGGGAUUGAGAUGGACUGCUGAGAGGCUGCCAGCCGCAUCCUGCACGCCCCAAGCACACAGCCUGCCUGAGGGACAGAAGGCUUCUUGGAACAUACCAGCAGGGGGAUGAUGGAGAAGCGGUGGGUCGCAUCCAAACCUCCUCUAAACUAGGGAAAAGAUGUGGAGCACUGCAGCUCGCUCCUGGCCUUGGGUAACUGGAGCCGUCCCAGACUUGCAGAGCAGGCUGAGGGCAGCCCAGCUCAUCCUGCAGCGUCACACACCACUGCCGGGAACAAAACCAGGGCAGUGUGGGAGCUGUCACUGAACCCGUGUCAUCCCAGCCUCUCAACCAAGACGUAGAAAAAUCUCAGAUCCAUCCUGAACCAAUUCCCUACGACCUGCUGGUCCACACGCAGCAGCCUGACUGAGCCACAGUGGGGCUGUCCUGCCUUGGGGGCAUCAAACAGGAGCCAAACCAUAGAAGUGGAGAUCUCAUAGCCAUGGGAUGGGACCGCUGGGUGGCAGUGGGGACAGCAGGAACGGGCAGUGAGGCGUUGCUGGCCUUUGCAGCUGCUGGCUUUGCAGAGCCGGGAUGGAAGGAGCUGGUCCCACCACGCUGUCGGUGGCGAUGCCCAGGCUUUGCUGAGCAGGGCACGAGCUCCCAUUCCCAGCAGGAUACGCUGACCCCUUUGCCUUCCUGGUGGCUUCAGGAAGGAGGACAGAUUAGGUCCAGGAGUUGUCUCCAUGGAGCAGCAGGGGCACAGGAAGUCCUGUGAAGACCUAAGAGCAAAACAAAGGCACAAAGAGCUCUGCUUUCCCUUCGGAGGCAAAGCAGGCGUCACGCAGCCAGCAGGCAGUGGCUAACACUGCUUUGUGGGCUUUUUUUUCCCACCCAGCCGCUUCCUCCUGUGGAGAACAACUGAGUACGCUCGCUUUGUUUUCCUCGUGCUCCACAAGCCUGUCACCUGCCCUGGGGAUGCAGGCAGGCGCUGAAGAGCUGCAGUGCUGUGUGGUGACCCACGAGUGGCUGGACCAAACCCAGAAGCCCUUACUCAGGGCUAGCCCAGCCCGUUCCUCCCAGCAUCUUCCCACAAGGGAAGCCUGGGACUGGCCAGCACCGGUCACCUCAGGCUCCUCUAAAACUGCCCCGUGCUCUUUGCCUGGUGGCACCUCCUUGCUUUUCACCUCAACACAUCUCAUUUUGAGUUUCAGUGCUAAAGCCAGCCGCAGUGAGCACGACUGAAGACAUUUACUGCCUGUCCUAGCCGGUGACUGUCACGGUGAAGCACAGAUCCAGAUUUUCCUUUCCAUAGAGGGAAAAGGCUGCAGACACAGGGCUGCCAGGCGGUUACCUCUGCUGGGAAUUUCUCCUUUCCACCUGGAUGUCACCGCUAACAACGCCGCUGGUACUGGGCAGGGUCCAGGCGGCAGCGUGGAGGAGGCAGAGUGCCCACCAGCGAGGUCGAGAAGGAAGGGUCUGUCCACUCAGGUGGCUGAGUCUGGCUGAAUUACCUGAAAUUCUCCCAAAGAAGAAGAAUGAAAAAGAUUUUUCAUCAAAUCAAAAGAUUUUCUGUUUUCAGGAGCCAGAGAUUAGGGGAAAAGUUUGUUGUUUCACUAAAAACUAGCCUUACAAUCAACUGAGAAGACGUUUCAUCAUCGAGGACUGAUGCCUCCAGAUUUUGGGGCACUGGACUGUAACUUGCCAAGUGUGCUGUCCUGACACCAGAGGGCUGUACAGCUGCCCUUGGAUCCUGUGAAAACUCUCCUUAGAAAUCCCAGCCAAGGGGGACAGUUUGAAGGUACUGAGCAUUUUCUAAUUCAGCGAGGAAGAGACUGAGGAUGUGACAGCAAUAUUCCAGCAUCCAAUUAUUCCCUCAGGGCCACCGGGAAACAUUAAAAAAAUCGCUCUGCUUCAUCUGAAGCGAAAAAAAAAAAAAAAAAAGUUUAUGUUAAGAAAAUCCCAACACUGCAAUGCAGGAAUCUGCAUUUCAGCAGGAAACUGCUGAAAUCACGAUGCUUGGGCUUUCUGGCCAGAGCAGGAAGGCAAAGUGCCCUGGCACAGCUGCAGUAAGGUGAGGGGAGAGGUCUCAGGUGGUGCUUGAUGGGUCCCGAGGACAAAAAGCCUGGUGCACAGGAGGCGAGAGGAGAGCUGAAGGGGACUCAUCAGUGUGUGACUGCCCAGCUCUGUCUGAUGACACCCUAAAUCCUCAUUCUGGAUGCAUCCCCCUGCUCCUGCAGGAGAGGGUACAGCUAAUGAACCCAUUACUGCGGGGCUCGGAGUGGGAAGCACUAAAGGAGCAAUCAGGCUGCUGAAAUCUUGCAAAACCUUUGACUCAUCCCCGUUCCUGGGAGGCCACGUGUCAGCACUUCACCCAUUUCUCAACAUUUAGCUAUUUUAGGAAUGACAUCGAAGUGCAGGUGAAGUCUGACCGACAAGGUCUGUCGCUCACGACUCCAAAACACCGCUGACCUGCAAAGGUCAUGCUGAAGGCUGCCUGAGAACCGAGGGCUUCCCCCCAAUAACACCCCCAGGCAUUUGCUUCUCGCCCUCCCCAUGGACAAUCCCCAGCAGAGACUUUGCAAAGUCCUGGGCAUCUGCAUCCGGACCCAGCAGGCUGAAGAUUUAAGGUCCAAAGCGAUGAUUUCAUGGUUCUGAGGAACUGAGACCAAAGCGUUUGCCCAAGACAUUCCUCCAGCCUCGAGUCAUCUGCGGGUCUUGCUGCCAAGGGAGGGGAACUCCCUGUGCUUUUCCACAACACAGCACCCACCCCAAACACAGCCAGGCGGGGGGCAACAGCCCGGGGCUGGGGUGGGGUGGAGGCCGUCACCUUCUUCUCCAGGAGCAGCAGGGCACAGCGGCUGCUGCGGAUGGAUGAUUUGGGCAGGGAGCUGCAGGGGCUGUGGCCUCCCACCUCGAUGUCUGAGCCUACAAAGCAGCUUCGGGGUUGUGGCGUGGAGGCUGUGCUGCUAAAGGUGUGGGAGAUGUGAACAGAAGCUUUGGGGCUUGCUGUAAAUGCAGCCGGGUUCCUCGCAUUGCUUGUGUCGGGGUCCCGUUGGUAAGUCUGAAGCGAAGCGUCACGUGCUGAGUGUUUGGUUCCAGCACAAACCAUGCUUAUAAAGCAGGACAGAAACUAGCUGUGGCUCAGGAUACUUGGAAUGGGACCAAUGUUUGCUCUUCCUGAGAUACUUCUUUAGGUUUUGACACAACAACCUGAAUUCCGGUCAUCUGCUGCAUUGCAGAGAGGCCGGGAAGCGUGCAGACUCCAGCGCUGGGAGAGCCUGAAGUCCUGAACCCUCCUCUUCCUCCUCCUGCUUCCCCCGGCUGUUUUUUUGGAAGGAGCCCACGAGUUCUGUGGGUGAGCAGCUCAGAAGGAGCCCCACUUACUCCUCUGCCUGCGGCAUCUCCCUUACUCUGGACUUGGAUGAACGCUUCUGGCAUGAUGGGCCCUGUGUGGAGCAGGAUGGAGCAGGAUCUGCUCCGCUUCGAGGCACAGGAAAAAGUUCAGAUAUGUCUUAUUUUGAUAUAUCAAAAUAAAGCACAGUUUACAAGA